GUUUGAUCAUGGCUCAGGACGAACGCUGGCGGCGUGCCUAACACAUGCAAGUCGAGCGAGAGACUUCGGUUUCUAGCGGCGGACGGGUGAGUAACACGUGGGUAACCUGCCUCAUAGAGGGGGAUAGCCUCCCGAAAGGGAGAUUAAUACCGCAUAACAUUUUGAUGUCGCAUGACAUUUGCUUUAAAGGAGCAAUCCGGUGUGAGAUGGGCCCGCGGCGCAUUAGCUAGUUGGUGAGGUAAAGGCUCACCAAGGCCACGAUGCGUAGCCGACCUGAGAGGGUGAUCGGCCACAUUGGAACUGAGACACGGUCCAGACUCCUACGGGAGGCAGCAGUGGGGAAUAUUGCACAAUGGGCGAAAGCCUGAUGCAGCAACGCCGCGUGAGUGAUGACGGCCUUCGGGUUGUAAAGCUCUGUCUUUGGGGACGAUAAUGACGGUACCCAAGGAGGAAGCCACGGCUAACUACGUGCCAGCAGCCGCGGUAAUACGUAGGUGGCAAGCGUUGUCCGGAUUUACUGGGCGUAAAGGAUGCGUAGGUGGAUAUUUAAGUGGGAUGUGAAAUACCCGGGCUCAACUUGGGUGCUGCAUUCCAAACUGGAUAUCUAGAGUGCAGGAGAGGUAAGUGGAAUUCCUAGUGUAGCGGUGAAAUGCGUAGAGAUUAGGAAGAACACCAGUGGCGAAGGCGACUUACUGGACUGUAACUGACACUGAGGCAUGAAAGCGUGGGGAGCAAACAGGAUUAGAUACCCUGGUAGUCCACGCCGUAAACGAUGGGUACUAGGUGUGGGAGGUAUCGACCCCUUCCGUGCCGCCGUUAACACAAUAAGUACCCCGCCUGGGGAGUACGGUCGCAAGAUUAAAACUCAAAGGAAUUGACGGGGGCCCGCACAAGCAGCGGAGCAUGUGGUUUAAUUCGAAGCAAAGCGAAGAACCUUACCAAGUCUUGACAUCUCCUGAAUUACUCUUAAUCGAGGAAGCCCUUCGGGGCAGGAAGACAGGUGGUGCAUGGUUGUCGUCAGCUCGUGUCGUGAGAUGUUGGGUUAAGUCCCGCAACGAGCGCAACCCUUAUUGUUAGUUGCUACCAUUUAGUUGAGCACUCUAGCGAGACUGCCCGGGUUAACCGGGAGGAAGGUGGGGAUGACGUCAAAUCAUCAUGCCCCUUAUGUCUAGGGCUACACACGUGCUACAAUGGCUGGUACAAAGAGAUGCAAUACCGCGAGGUGGAGCCAAACUUUAAAACCAGUCUCAGUUCGGAUUGUAGGCUGAAACUCGCCUACAUGAAGCUGGAGUUGCUAGUAAUCGCGAAUCAGCAUGUCGCGGUGAAUACGUUCCCGGGCCUUGUACACACCGCCCGUCACACCAUGAGAGGUGGCAAUACCCAAAGUUCGUGAGCUAACGCGUAAGCGGGGCAGCGACCUAAGGUAGGGUCAGCGAUUGGGGUGAAGUCGUAACAAGGUAACC
rnacentral:rRNA from 1 species